rnacentral:tRNA from 1 species
CCUGCUGUGACAAGCCUCUCAAUCAGGGAUGCAAAAUGACUGUUAAUCAAUGGGUCGCUGGUUCGAGCCCAGCAGGCGGAGCCA